rnacentral:lncRNA from 1 species
CCGCGUUGACCCUGCCUCUAGCGCCCCGCUUCCUCUCUAAGGCCCAGAUCCCACCCCAACCGGCCUGCUUCCGCCAAGGCCCAGGGUGAGCAGCCCCCGGCCUUUUCCUCUGUUGGGCUUCCUAUUCAGAUGCGGGCCGUAUCUUGUUUUUUCCAGUUUUGUGAAUUUGCUAAUUAUUCCAGGAAAACUGCAUAUUUACAUAUUGCACCCUCAUGUUCAUGCAUAUGAUAACUUCAUAACCGUGCAUCGGAUUAAAACAAACUAAAUAUGUAACAUGCUUAGAAUUUUAUCUAGUUUCAUAAUAUGCUGCUUUCAUCCAUGUUAAAAAUGUUUAAGUUGUUGUUUGCAUUAUUUUUCUCAAAAUGUCAUGUUAAAAUGGUUUAUUUCAUAACUAAAUAACCGUAGCUCCGAAUUAAAUAAACUUUAUAUGUAAAUGGGGUGGAAAAUGCAUAGAUUAACAUGGUGUCAUUACUUUGCAUGUUUAACAACUCUAAAAUUGUGUAUAGGGCAGAAUACUAGCAAAUUCGACAUAUGCAUAUGGGGAUUUUCCGAAAUUGUUGUUUGUUAUUUCCGGCCUCAUUUAAACUUGCCUAAAUAGUUAGUUUAGUUAUGCUUCACCUCUUGCCAUGUUUAACAAUAUUUAAUAUUGUUGGGUACAUAAAGGAGAGGGAACUAAAUAAUCGAAUGUGGUGUUUCAUCAAUAUGCAACCCGUUGCAUAUUGAGCUUCACUUAAUUUGAAGUAUUGUUUGUUACACUUUGCCAUGCCAUGCCUUAUUAAACCGGACAUGAAUCAUACUUGAUUGUGCAUCAUGCCAUGAUUAUGCUUGUUGGUUUACUGUGUUGUUUUCUUCUUUCUGGUUGUGCUUCUUCUCGGUAGUACCGGUAAUGUUGCAAUUGUGAGGAUUCGUUCGACUACAUUGGUUCAUCUACUUCAGGGAUUCGGUCUUCUUCCUAGCGGGAUUUCAGGCAAGAUGACUGUUACCCUAGAUAUCACUACUAUCUUUGCUUUGCUAGUUUUCUCGAUGCUAUUGCUAUGUCGCGCUACCUACCACUUGUUUAUCAAGCCUCCCAAAUUGCCAUGAUAAGCCUCUAACCUUUUCCACCAUCCCAGCAUACCGUCGUUUGGCUAUGUUACCGCUUUGCUCAGCCCCUCUUAUAGCGUUGCUAGUUGCAGGCGCAGUAUCAGGUUAUCCAUGUUCGGACAUAGCUAUCAUGGGAUAUCACAAAAUCUCUUAUUUAAUUAAUGCAUCUAUAUACUUGGUAAAGGGUGGAAGGCUUAGCCUUUUGCUUGAUGUUUUCUUCCACUCCUGCCGCCCUAGUUUCCGUCAUACCAAUGUUAUGUUCCUUGAUUUUGCGUUCCUAACACGGUCGGGGUUUAUGGACCCCCUUAACAAUUCGCUUAAAAUAAAACUCUUCCAACAAGGCCCAACUUUGGUUUUACCAUUUGCCUAAUAACAACUAAAACUUGCAUAGGGACUUACCGGUACCCGAGGAUAAUUAAUCAAAAACUCGGGCCAAUGCUCCUCAUGAGUGUUGGUCCAAACUAGGUGAUGUCCGGCGCCCCCUGGGCAACUAGGGUCUCAGCCAACCCGACGUCUUGCCCAUUCGGUGUGCCCUGAGAAUGAGAUACGUGCGACCCCUAUCAGGAUUGUCGAUACAUCGGGUGGUGUUGUUGGUUUUGUUUUACCAUUGUUGAAAUGUCUUGUGAACCGGGAUUCCGAGCUUGAUCAGGUUGUUUCAGAAUGGAGGAUUUUCCUCCGCGGAUCAUGAGAGUUUGUGAUGGACUAAGUUGGGACACCCCUGCAGGGUUUAAUCUUUUCGAGAGCCGUGCCCAGGGUUAUGUGGAAGAUGGGAAAUUUAUAAUAUCCGGUUGUAGAGAACUUGACACCAGAUCCGAAUUGAAAUACACCAACUGUGUGCAUAACCGUGACCGUGUCUUUUUGAGUGAAUUUGAGAAGAGAACACGGUGGGGUUAUGAUUGACUCGUAAGUAGUUUAGGAUCACUUCUUGAUCAUUACUAGAUUGCGACCGUUAUGCGUAGUUUCUCUUCUUAUUCUUGUACUCAUAAGUUAGCCACCAUACAAAUGCGUAGUGUUGCUGCAACCUCACCACUUAUCCAUUCCAUACCCAUUAAGCUUUGCUAGUCUUGAUACCCAUGAUGAUGGGAUUGCUGAGUCCUCGUGGCUCACAAAUUACUACAACAACAUCUGCAGGUACAGGUAAUGCGAUGCUAUGACGUGAGAGCGAUGCUUGCUUGUUUUGGAGUUCUUCUUCUGCUUCUUCUUCGAUCAAGGGAUAGGUUCCGGGUCGGGAGCCUGGGAUUAGUAGGGUAGGUGUCGUUCUUCUUUUUCGUUUGAUUUCAUUCGUAGUCGGAUACUGCUCUUUUGUAUGAUGAUUGCUAUGUAUUGAUGAACUGUUGUAUUCAUGUUGUAGCUUGUGGCGAGUGUAAGCCUUUAUCUUGUAUUCUCAUCUAUUCAGCACAUGGUAUGUUGUAAUGAUAUCCACCUUGCUAUGCGCUCGAAAUGCGGUUGUGCUCCAAUCAUGAAUUCAUCACGUGAUUGGGAUAGAAUCACAUCUUGGACGCUACAUAAUGAUAGCAGGUAUGUAGUGUCGAUGCUACAAUCUGAG